UUAAACCCCACCAUUCUAGCACUCUCAGAAGUAUUUUUUUAUUGAGUGGGAAUUUUUCGUCUUCUUCAUCGUAUUCAUCGUCUGAUAUAAAGGUCUUGCCUUUAGAACUUCAAUCGAGCAAUUCAGUGAGAAAGAUUUGGACUUCCUCUCCUCUCUGUAUGGGCAGGCGCUCCUGCAAAAUUGCUGGUAGAAAGACUGCUCAGGAUCUUAAGAAGGCAAAGCUGUACUCAAAAAUCGGGAAGGAAAUUGUUUCUGCGGUUAAGAAAGGUGGUCCAAGUCCAAUAUCUAAUACGGCUCUCGCUGCUCUGAUUGAGAAAGUUAAGGAACUUGAUAUACCCAAAGACAUUGUUGACCGCAAUGUAAAGAGAGCUUCAGAAA
rnacentral:misc_RNA from 1 species